rnacentral:rRNA from 1 species
CGACUACGACCUCAGAUCAGACGAGACAACCCGCUGAAUUAAAG